GACGAACGCUGGCGGCGUGCUUAACACAUGCAAGUCGAACGGAAAGGCCCUGCUUUUGUGGGGUGCUCGAGUGGCGAACGGGUGCGUAACACGUGAGUAACCUGCCCUUGACUUUGGGAUAACUUCAGGAAACUGGGGCUAAUACCGGAUAGGAGCUCCUGCUGCAUGGAGGGGGUUGGAAAGUUUCGGCGGUUGGGGAUGGACUCGCGGCUUAUCAGCUUGCUGGUUGGGUAGUGGCUUACCAAGGCUUUGACGGGUAGCCGGCCUGAGAGGGUGACCGGCCACAAUGGGACUGAGAUACGGACCAGACUGCUACGGGAGGCAGAAGUGGGGAAUAUUGCACAAUGGGCGGAAGCCGGAUGCAGCAACGCCGCGUGCGGGAUGACGGCCUUCGGGUUGUAAACCGCUUUCGCCUGUGACGAAGCGUGAGUGACGGUAAUGGGUAAAGAAGCACCGGCUAACUACGUG
rnacentral:rRNA from 1 species